rnacentral:ncRNA from 1 species
GAUAUAUUUGAUUCUAGUAUGGAUUUUAAUGGUUAAAAAUUAAACUUAUACAUGCGGUUCUUAGAUUUUGUUUAGUAAAUUUAUCUAAAUGAUAAUUUUACUUAUAUAGUGGCAGUAUUUAGUAUUGUGAAAUUUUAUUUUUAAAGAUACAGUUUGUUUUAUUUUGACUAGCAAAAAUUGUGCCAGCAGCUGCGGUUAUACAAUUAGUCAUUUCCAUUAUUUUGGGGAUAUAUUUAUAGGUAAUAUGUAUAUUUGACUAAAUUUGACUUUAUUUUUAAGUGAAAUUUAAAUUUGUUUUAUGUAGUUAGGUUUAUUUGAAAAUGAUUGAGAUAAAUAUAUGAAAUUUAUUUCUUAGACUAGGAUUAGAUACCCUAUUAUUAUAAAUUUAAAUUGUAAAUCUCUAGUAUUAAUAGUUAUGAUCUUUAAAUUAAAAGAAUUUGACGGUGACUUAAUCUUUUCAGAGGAACCUGUCCUGUAAUCGAUAAUCCACGAUAAAUUUUACUUUAAUUUUGUUUGUAUAUCUCUGUUUAUUGAGUGUUUUAUUAGAAUUUAUUCUCUUUAACUUUUAAUAAAUUUUAUAUCAGGUCAAGGUGCAACUAUAUUAAAGCUUGAGAUGGGUUACAUUUAUUUUCAAUAUUGGAUUAUUUUAUAAAUUGUAUUAUUAUUUAUGAAAUUGGAUUUGAUUGUAAUGAUUAUUAUAUUUUAAUUAUGAUAUUUGUUCUAGGUUGAGUACACAUCGCCCGUCGCUCUCAUUUUUAAGAUGAGAUAAGUCGUAACAAAGUAGGCCUAUCGGAAGGUGGGCCUGGAAUUAU